UCUAGCCAUCGAGCGGAGGAUUCCCGCAGGUAGUUGGAAAGAGACCACAGACAUUGAGGGAAGCUCACUCAGGACCUUUUCUUCACCCAGGCUCUCCGGCAAAGUAGUGCUGACAGCGAGGAUGAGCUACUUUGUGGAUCCCGCCUCCAGCGGCCCCGCCCCUUAUUCAGCAGCGCGUCCUGCAAUGGCGAGGCAGGGACCUAUCAACUCCUACGAAGAUCCUCGAAUGGCCUGUGGUUUCCAGUCCAAUUAUCACCUGCAACGAGCUUACUACCCCUUCUGGGAUGAGAUGGCCACUCAGGAAGUUCCUACUGGUCUGGAACACUGCAGCUCAGUUUCAGGUUGGAGGGUAAAAACCUGAAAUGGUUCUCUCUUGCUGCUGGAGGACCACGGAAUCUUCCACUCUGUCUUUACGCCUUCAUUU